rnacentral:rRNA from 1 species
GAUGAACGCUGACAGAAUGCUUAACACAUGCAAGUCAACUUGAAUUUGGGUUUUUAACUUAGGUUUGGGUGGCGGACGGGUGAGUAACGCGUAAAGAACUUGCCUCACAGCUAGGGACAACAUUUGGAAACGAAUGCUAAUACCUAAUAUUAUGAUAAUAGGGCAUCCUAUAAUUAUGAAAGCUAUAAGCGCUGUGAGAGAGCUUUGCGUCCCAUUAGCUAGUUGGAGAGGUAACGGCUCACCAAGGCGAUGAUGGGUAGCCGGCCUGAGAGGGUGAUCGGCCACGAGGGGACUGAGACACGGCCCUUACUCCGACGGGAGGCAGCAGUGGGGAAUAUUGGACAAUGGACCGAGAGUCUGAUCCAGCAAUUCUGUGUGCACGAUGAAGUUUUUCGGAAUGUAAAGUGCUUUCAGUUGGGAAGAAACAAAUGACGGUACCAACAGAAGAAGUGACGGCUAAAUACGUG